GACAGAGGGUGCAAACGUUGUUCGGAAUUACUGGGCGUAAAGCGCGUGUAGGCGGUCUGUUGCGUCGGCUGUGAAAACCCGAGGCUCAACCUCGGGCCUGCAGCCGAUACGGGCAGACUAGAGUUCGGCAGGGGAGACUGGAAUUCCUGGUGUAGCGGUGAAAUGCGCAGAUAUCAGGAGGAACACCGGUGGCGAAGGCGGGUCUCUGGGCCGAUACUGACGCUGAGGAGCGAAAGCGUGGGGAGCGAACAGG
rnacentral:rRNA from 1 species